rnacentral:lncRNA from 1 species
CCGUGCCCAAGGGGCGAGUGCCUGCCUGCCACCCCCCGCCCGGAGGAGCGGCGCACCCUUAGGGUCCGCCCCGCACGUGCCAGCUCGGCGCCCGCGGCGCCCGGACAGCCCCGGGACUCUGCCAGGUGGAUGUUGUGCGUAGCCGGAGCCAAGUUGAAGGUGACUGGAACGGAGCCAAGGAUGGUGGUGUUCCUCCUAGGGAUUUACUAACACUGCCAGCAACUCAAGAACUAGCCAGCCAGGAGUUUCCUAGUAAGUGAAACUGACUUGGUUCUGCUUCCUUUCAUGAAAACCUUUGUGAAAAUGAG